AAAUCAAUGUAUAAGAGGUCUUACCUGCCCAGUGACAUUAAGUUUAACGGCCGCGGUAUUUUGACCGUGCUAAGGUAGCGCAAUCACUUGUCUUUUAAAUGAAGACCUGUAUGAAUGGUGGAACGAGGGCUUAACUGUCUCCCUUUUUAGGUCAAUGAAAUUGAUCUGCCCGUGCAGAAGCGGACAUAAAAAUACAAGACGAGAAGACCCUUUGGAGCUUAAGACACAAAGUCAAGCAUGUCAAAAAUUACUGUUACGAAAAACAAAACAAAAUAUCAACUGACCAAAGUCUUCGGUUGGGGCGACCGCGGGGGAAAAUGAAGCCCCCAUGAGGAAUGGGUUAAAACCUAAAACCACGAGGAACACCUCUAAGUCACAGAAUAUCUGACCAAAAGAUCCGGCACUUAGCCGAUUAACGAACCAAGUUACCCUAGGGAUAACAGCGCAAUCCCCUCCAAGAGUCCAUAUCGACAAGGGGGUUUACGACCUCGAUGUUGGAUCAGGACAUCCUAAUGGUGCAGCCGCUAUUAAGGGUUCGUUUGUUCAACGAUUAAAGU
rnacentral:rRNA from 1 species